CCUACGGGUGGCUGCAGUCGAGAAUCUUCCGCAAUGGGCGAAAGCCUGACGGAGCGACGCCGCGUGCGGGAUGAAGGCCUUCGGGUUGUAAACCGCUGUCGUAGGGGAGGAAGGCCCUGUGAAGAACAGGGUUUGACCUAUCCUAGGAGGAAGGACGGGCUAAGUUCGUGCCAGCAGCCGCGGUAAUACGAACCGUCCAAACGUUAUUCGGAAUUACUGGGCUUAAAGGGUACGUAGGCGGCGCUUCAAGUCGGGUGUGAAAUCCCUCGGCUCAACCGAGGAAUUGCGCCCGAUACUGGAGUGCUCGAGGGAGACAGAGGUAAGCGGAACUGAUGGUGGAGCGGUGAAAUGCGUUGAUAUCAUCAGGAACACCAGUGGCGAAAGCGGCUUACUGGGUCUCUUCUGACGCUGAGGUACGAAAGCUAGGGGAGCGAAGGGGA
rnacentral:rRNA from 1 species